CGGGGACAUAGCAGCCUCCCCAUCAGACGCCUCAGCGUCCAAGGCCUGC
rnacentral:ncRNA from 1 species